UCUUCUCCCAAUUGGUAUAAAAUAAGCAACAAUAUCCUCCUUUGAAGCCUCUCUCUAUGUAGCCUGAAGUUCGCAAAGAGGAAGCUUUAACCCUCUGUGAGGUGAAUGCCAGGAAUUGAAGAGUAACUUACCAAAAGUCAUCCAGGAAGCUGGCAUGUGUGUGUUUGUAAAGGAAGAAGGACAGAGCCAGGGUGUUUUGUGUCAUGUAAGGACACACAUUGACCUUUGACAUGGAAACAGUUCUAGGUGGUGCACCCAGACAUAUCUGGCAAUGAACCUACACUGUGGAAACACCUGUGCCAAGACUUCCCAUCCGGGCAACACUGCCUGCUUGCUCUUCCUCGGCCCUGCCCAGCACAUCCUCCUCUGCUCUGACAGCCCCAGCCUAACCCAGAGACUGUACCUGGUCCCAUGUCAUUGCCUGUUGUCUCAUUCCUGAGAGAUUAAAACAAUUGUCAUCUACAUUUACAUUCAGAACACCCAGACCUGUGUAUUAUCCUAGAGAAAGAGGUGUUCCUCUUCAAGAAAGCAAUAAAAUGUGUCUCUCCA